GACGAACGCUGGCGGCGCGCCUAACACAUGCAAGUCGAACGGGACUAUCUCGGAAGAAGUUUUCGGAUGGAUUUUGGGAUAGUUUAGUGGCGGACGGGUGAGUAACACGUGAGCAACCUACCUUCGAGAGGGGAAUAACGGCUGGAAACGGUCGCUAAUACCGCAUAACGUACGGAUGGGACAUCCUGUCAGUACCAAAGAUUUAUCGCUCGAAGAUGGGCUCGCGUCCGAUUAGGUAGUUGGUGAGGUAACGGCCCACCAAGCCGACGAUCGGUAGCCGGACUGAGAGGUUGAACGGCCACAUUGGGACUGAGACACGGCCCAG
rnacentral:rRNA from 1 species